CAGUAUCCAGUCCACACAACCAGUCCUGAGGACGGUCUGCAUCUGCACAGGCUGUUGGAACUAAAACUCCAUUCUUACACCUUUCUCACCCGUGGUUCUGAUGAAGUCCCAAAACCUAAGUCAGGUUCGGUGGGGUGAGGAGGUUCGGAGCCGACGACUAAAGAAAGAAUUCUUAAGACGUCGUUGGUGCAAAAGCUUUAUGGCUCCGUUGUUGGAGAAUGCGGCUGUUUUGAUUUCUGUCUUCGGAAACCUUUGAGAUUUUCUUGGCCCAGGACAUGGGUUGUGUGACUCUUCAUGCUUGACUUUUUGAUGUUGGCUCUUAUAUCUUCGCCCACCCCCAAUUACCAUCUUCUCCGUAUGAUGGAAUUCUGGUGUCCCAUGAAGAGCACCUCAUCAAUGUGAUUUCUAACCAAACGUGAGAGUUUUGUCUCCUGUUCCAUGCUUAUGUCUCACAUUUUUAACCAACGUAUUGAUUAUACUCUUUGAUCAACACUGAGAAUCAGUCAGCAUUCAUUGCUUCUUGGCCCUAUAAGCAACAUAAGGACCUUAUCAUG